rnacentral:rRNA from 1 species
CGUGUAGGCGGUCUGAUUAGUCUGAUGUGAAAGCCCUGGGCUCAACCCAGGAAGUGCAUUGGAUACUGUCAGACUUGAAUACGGGAGAGGGUAGUGGAAUUCCUAGUGUAGGAGUGAAAUCCGUAGAUAUUAGGAGGAACACCGGUGGCGAAGGCGGCUACCUGGACCGAUAUUGACGCUGAGACGCGAAAGCGUGGGUAGCAAACAGGAUUAGAUACCCUGGCAGUCCACGCCGUAAACGAUGAGUACUAGGUGUUGCGGGUAUUGACCCCUGCAGUGCCGCAGCUAACGCAUUAAGUACUCCGCCUGGGAAGUACGGUCGCAAGACUAAA